rnacentral:rRNA from 1 species
AGAGUUUGAUCCUGGCUCAGAGUGAACGCUGGCGGUAGGCCUAACACAUGCAAGUCGAACGGCAGCACAGUAAGAGCUUGCUCUUACGGGUGGCGAGUGGCGGACGGGUGAGGAAUACAUCGGAAUCUACUUUUUCGUGGGGGAUAACGUAGGGAAACUUACGCUAAUACCGCAUACGACCUACGGGUGAAAGCAGGGGAUCUUCGGACCUUGCGCGAUUGAAUGAGCCGAUGUCGGAUUAGCUAGUUGGCGGGGUAAAGGCCCACCAAGGCGACGAUCCGUAGCUGGUCUGAGAGGAUGAUCAGCCACACUGGAACUGAGACACGGUCCAGACUCCUACGGGAGGCAGCAGUGGGGAAUAUUGGACAAUGGGCGCAAGCCUGAUCCAGCCAUACCGCGUGGGUGAAGAAGGCCUUCGGGUUGUAAAGCCCUUUUGUUGGGAAAGAAAUCCAGCUGGUUAAUACCCGGUUGGGAUGACGGUACCCAAAGAAUAAGCACCGGCUAACUUCGUGCCAGCAGCCGCGGUAAUACGAAGGGUGCAAGCGUUACUCGGAAUUACUGGGCGUAAAGCGUGCGUAGGUGGUUGUUUAAGUCUGUUGUGAAAGCCCUGGGCUCAACCUGGGAACUGCAGUGGAAACUGGACGACUAGAGUGUGGUAGAGGGUAGCGGAAUUCCUGGUGUAGCAGUGAAAUGCGUAGAGAUCAGAGGAACAUCCAUGGCGAAGCAGCUACCUGGACCAACACUGACACU